GUGAAGAAUAUGCUAAAUCAGUGAAUGCCAUAUUCAUGGAGUGCAGUGCCAAAGAUGACACCAAUGUAAAGGACCUAUUCUCUAGAAUAGCUGAUACUAUACCAUUAGAUAAAUUAAAUGUCGAUUUAAAACUCGGUACAGUCAAAUUGAACAGAAAAUCUGGACACUCGAGCUCAGGUUGUUCCUGUUGAAAUGAGAAGCACAAACAAAUAAUUUAUCACACAUCCAGAGAGAAAGGAUAUCAUAUCUUAUUAAAUGCAUCAAUU